rnacentral:rRNA from 1 species
GGAAAUCUCACCAGGCCCGGCUACUGGAAGGAUUGACAGAUUGAUAUUGAUAUUGAGCAAUAACAGGUCUGUGAUGCCCGGCCGUUCUUAGUUGGUGGAGUGAUUUGUCUGGUUAAUUCCGUUAACGAACGAGACCUUAACCUGCUAACUAGUUUAUAUUCUCACAGAGUAUAAUACUUCUUAGAGGGACUAUAUAUGUUAAGUAUAUGGAAGUUUGAGGCAAUAA